UACGUAGGGUGCAAGCGUUGUCCGGAAUUAUUGGGCGUAAAGAGCUCGUAGGCGGUUUGUCGCGUCGAAUGUGAAAACCCGGGGCUCAACCCCGGGCCUGCAUUCGAUACGGGCAGACUAGAGUUCGGUAGGGGAGUCUGGAAUUCCUGGUGUAGCGGUGAAAUGCGCAGAUAUCAGGAGGAACACCGGUGGCGAAGGCGGGACUCUGGGCCGAUACUGAUGCUGAGGAGCGAAAGCGUGGGGAGCAAACAGG
rnacentral:rRNA from 1 species